rnacentral:rRNA from 1 species
AUUGAACGCUGGCGGCAUGCUUUACACAUGCAAGUCGAACGGUAACAGGCCGCUAGGUGCUGCCGAGUGGCGUACGGGAGUGUCAUACAUCGGAACGUGCCCUGUCUUGUGGGCUAACUACUCGAAAGAGUAGCUAAUACCCCAUACGAUCUAUGGAUGAAAUCGGGGGACCGUAAGGCCUCGCGCGAUUCGAGCGGCCGAUGUUAGAUUAGGUAGUUGGUGGGGUAAAGGCUCACCAAGCCAAAGUUCUGUAUCUGGUCUGCGAGGACGACCAGCCACACUGGGACUGAGACAGGGCCCAGACUCCGACGGGAGGCAGCAGUGGGGAAUUUUGGACAAUGGGCGCAAGCCUGAGCCAGCAAUGCCGCGUGCAGGAAGAAGACCUUCGGGUUGUAAACUUCUUUUGUACGGAACGAAACGGCUCUGGUUAAGACCCGGGGCUAAUGACGGUACCGGAAGAAUAAGCACCGGCUAACUACGUG